rnacentral:rRNA from 1 species
CAGUAGCCGCGGGAAUACGUAGGUCCCGAGCGUUGUCCGGAUUUAUUGGGCGUAAAGCGAGCGCAGGCGGUUAGAUAAGUCUGAAGUUAAAGGCUGUGGCUUAACCAUAGUACGCUUUGGAAACUGUUUAACUUGAGUGCAAGAGGGGAGAGUGGAAUUCCAUGUGUAGCGGUGAAAUGCGUAGAUAUAUGGAGGAACACCGGUGGCGAAAGCGGCUCUCUGGCUUGUAACUGACGCUGAGGCUCGAAAGCGUGGGGAGCAAACAGGAUUAGAGACCCCCGUAGUCCCUGUCUCUUAUACA